AAUCGAACCCGGAGAUAGCUGGUUCUCCUCGAAAUAGCUUUAGGGCUAGCCUCGUUUUAGUCUUGUGGAGGUAGAGCACUGAAUUUCCGCGGGGGCGUCAAAGCUUACCAAAGAAUAUCAAACUCCGAAUGCCAUGUAGAUGAUGAUCGGGAGUCAGACUGCACGAGAUAAGUUGGGCAGUCAAAAGGGAAAGAGCCCAGACCUGCUGCUAAGGUCCCAAAGUACGUGUUAAGUGGAAAAGGAUGUGGGAUUUCGAAGACAACUAGGAUGUUGGCUCAGAAGCAGCCAUACAUUCAAAGAGUGCGUAACAGCUCACUAGUCGAGAGUUCCUGCGCCGAAAAUGUCCGGGGCUGAAACACGACACCGAAGCCGUGGACUCGCAAUGCGAGUGGUAGAGGAGCAUUCUUAAAACCGACGAAGCUGUACCGGAAGGAGCAGUGGAGGGAUAAGAAGAGAGAAUGCCGGAAUGAGUAGCGAGAGAAAGGUGGGAAUCCUUUCGGCCGAAUAUCUAAGGUUUCCAGAGUAAAGCUGAUCUGCUCUGGGUAAGUCGGGGCCUAAGCACAGGUCGCAAGACGUAAGCGAUGGAUAACAGGUUUAGAUUCCUGUACCACGCAUUAUCAGAACUGUAGGGACGCAUGUGGAAAGCACGGGCCGGGAAUGGAAAGACCGGUACAAGCGGGGUAGGUGUACAAUAGGCAAAUCCGUUGUAUGAUCCGAAGACGUGAUGUGGAGCGAAAUAAAGUAGUGAAGCGUGUGAGCCAUGUGCCGAGAAAAGCUGCUAUUGUGUAAUGCGUGCCCGUACCGUAAACCGACACAGGUGGAUGAGGAGAGAAUCCUAAGGCCGACGGAAGAAGCAUUGUUAAGGAACUCGGCAAAAUGACCCCGUAACUUCGGGAGAAGGGGUGCCUGCGAGAGCAGGCCGCAGAGAAUAGGCUCAAGCAACUGUUUAGCAAAAACACAGGUCUAUGCGAAACCGAAAGGUGAGGUAUAUGGGCUGACGCCUGCCCGGUGCUGGAAGGUUAAGAGGAGAGGUUAGCGCAAGCGAAGCUUUGAAUUUAAGCCCCAGUAAACGGCGGCCGUAACUAUAACGGUCCUAAGGUAGCGAAAUUCCUUGUCGGGUAAGUUCCGACCCGCACGAAAGGCGUAAUGAUUUGAGCACUGUCUCGACAAUGCAUCCGGUGAAAUUGAAGUACCAGUGAAGAUGCUGGUUACCUGCGCCAGGACGGAAAGACCCCAUGGAGCUUUACUCCAGCUUGAUACUGGGAUUCGGUAUUGCAUGUACAGGAUAGGUGGGAGGCUAGGAAGUGAUAACGCCAGUUGUCACGGAGCCGCUGUUGGGAUACCACCCUUGCAGUAUUGGAUUUCUAACCAGCGACCAUGAACUGGUCGGGGGACAAUGUCAGGUGGGGAGUUUGACUGGGGCGGUCGCCUCCGAAAGGGUAUCGGAGGCGCUCAAAGGUUCCCUCAGAAUGGUUGGAAACCAUUCGAAGAGUGCAAAGGCAGAAGGGAGCUUGACUGCGACACCGACGGGUGGAGCAGGUACGAAAGUAGGACUUAGUGAUCCGGUGGUAUAAAGUGGGAUUGCCAUCGCUCAACGGAUAAAAGCUACCCUGGGGAUAACAGGCUUAUCACUCCCAAGAGUUCACAUCGACGGAGUGGUUUGGCACCUCGAUGUCGGCUCAUCGCAUCCUGGGGCUGUAGUAGGUCCCAAGGGUUGGGCUGUUCGCCCAUUAAAGCGGUACGCGAGCUGGGUUCAGAACGUCGUGAGACAGUUCGGUCCCUAUCCGGCGUGGGCGUAGGAUAUCUGAGAGGAGCUGUCCUUAGUACGAGAGGACCGGGAUGGACGGACCGCUGGUGUACCGGUUGGACUGCCAAGUCUACGGCCGGGUAGCCAAGUCCGGAAGGGAUAAACGCUGAAGGCAUCUAAGCGUGAAGCCCCCCUCAAGAUGAGAUAUCCCAUUCGAAAGAAGUAAACCCCCUUGA
rnacentral:rRNA from 1 species